UAUCCAAAUGAUUUAACUGUCAUUUCAAACUGUAUACUGAUUGUCAUCUUCAACAGUUUUUUAAAUGAUCUGAUCUUGAAAUAUUCACAACCUUCACCUGAUCAUUUCAGCUUUUGUAUCUUAUUUCCAUCUAUAUCUGUAUCAAUUUAACGCUCAAUAAUGUCAUUAAAAUUUUGUCUCUCCUUAAUUGGAAAUAGCUCUUGUACUUGAUUAUUAAACAAGUGUGCUUAACUCGCUUUACGUUUUAAAAAUUGAUUUACGUUAUCUAACUAACUGCAGAGGAAUAGCUUUCAUCUCUGGAACUACAUACUAAAAUGGUUACUUUAACGGUGAACUUGUGCUGGGUUUUUUCAAAGUUUAAUUCAAUAUCUACAAUCAAUAAACUGUCACAAACAGCGUUUAUUUCAUUUUACAAAUAGCAAACAAUAACAAUUAGAAGCUGUUUCGGUUAUUGUCUAUUUUUGGCUAAUGACAAACUUGCGAUAACGAGCUUAUUCUGCUCAAGCCGUCAAGUUAUUCUUAAUAUGACUGAAAUGUUUUCUUCAAUUCAAUGGAAGUGGUGAUGUUAACUUUGGAGGUGCCAUUAAUGUGAGCCGUAAGUUAUUAGCUUUACUAGUUGGUAUUUGGUUAGAGCUCUGCCUAACUUUGUAUUGGUGUGUUGCUGUCCAAUGGUGCCCUUGAUUCAGGCAAUUGGUACACUGAUUUGUUUGAUGAAUUUGUUUAAUUGAGUCCCGACGAGAUCUUUGUUGCAAAUGAUAUGACCCAACUUUAUUUUCUUUGUUGACAAGCUUAUUAUCAAAAUGGAUAUGAUGAUCAUAACUGCGACCAUGGUUAAUAAUUGGAUCAUCAUAUUGAUGAUGCUGGUGAUAGUGAUGAUUGUUUAGUAAUGUAUCAUGCUCAGAUUCUGGCUCUGGAUCGGGGUGAGAAAAGUGGUCCAAUUCAGGCUCAGGCUCAGGUUCAGCGGCAACAGAGUUGUCACUAUAAAGACAAAACAAUUAGGAUUACAAAUUUAACUAUCAACACGGGAAAGUGAAUCUUCAGUGGAGCUGAAUCAGGAGAAUGAUUAAAUGUAACAGACAUCCGUACCGGUGGAAGUUUAAAGCGAGGAAGACGUAACACAAAUGGAGGCAAAUUUACACCAAAAUUGAGUUGCAUGCCACAGUUAACGAUGGAAAAUGUCAUAAAGACAACAAAUUGGAUGAAUAUUACCUACAGAGAACCAAAAGAGAAUGUUGUAUUUAAAUUAUCAACUUAAAUCAUCAAAAGGGAAUGGAUCCAAUAAAAGACAAAUCCAAAUCGUAUUUGUAAACUACGAAAAUCGCAAUUAAAGACUAACAAAGCAUCAUUCCUGUUAUCAUAACCAUAGUCAAUCAUUGUUGAUCCAUGAUAUCUUAUGAUUUUACCUUCAUUUUAAAUGAUAUUCAUAAACACUUAUCCUUAACACCUGAGUAAAUCAGGCUAAUGGGCACAAAAAUAAUCCUCAUGGAAACAUGGCAACUAUGAAGAGGCAGAUUUAGGAUUUCAAUGUAACAACUUGAACAGUGAAACACUAAUUUCUGUAAUUACAUUGACCAAAUUAUGGUAACCAGAUUUAUACUGACUAUCAAAUAGAGUAAACAAGUUGAUAAAACAAGCAAGAAACAGGCAGCAAACUCGGCAAAAGAUUGACUUUAACUACAAUUUAUUUUACUGUUUAACUGUAUUGGUAAAAAGUUAUGGUUGAUGGAUUAAGGAGUGAUAGUGAUGAUGGUUAAAAUGGAAAGUUUGUCAACCGAUUUAUGUUAAAUUUUCCCGAUUACUCGAUUACCGUAACACAUCUAUUCACUUAAAUAUUAAAGCUGAUAAAAAGAGAUAUAAUCAAUAUUCAAAUUGGAUUCAUUAUGAAUUGAUAAAUACACUUGUCGAGAGUUUGAGUAGUCAAUGAAAUAAGUCCAACUCGAUUGUUCCUACUUCCUUUUUUUCUUAACUGCUUAAUUAUCUCACCUUAAUCCAUUUUUCAUAAUCACUCGACAGAAAGGAUUUCCACUAAUUAAUAAUGGAAGACAAGUUAAAUCCAAUUGUUCAGUCAACAAAGGUGCAACAGCCUAAUUGCUGAUGGGUCCAAAUCAUAACCUGCAAUUCACUUGUUUUAAAUAUUCUGUUAAAUCUGAAAUGUAACAUUUUCUGAGUCCAUGAAUGUCUAAUAUCAUCAAUUGGCAAUCAUGUUGAAGCAAUGUUUAAGAUCAGCUUGAAGCUUAUCGCUAUUUUUAUUGCAAUGAAAUCAUUACAUUGAUUCUGGUUCAAUUUAUUUCACUGAUUUUUUCAGUAUUUCACCAAAUUUAUUUCUUGAUUCAUAAUGUGAUUUAUGCCGUGAUUACAUCAAAUGGUUGAUCAUAUAAUUGCGUGAUACACAAUGGGAAAGAAAAAUUGGAACGAUCAAUCUUGUUGUAAUUACUCUAAUUUACCUUAUUUUGAUAAAUACAAGCAAUAAAUUUCAAUUUUAAAGCACAA